rnacentral:rRNA from 1 species
GUGCUCGAGAGACGCUGGCGGCGUGCCUAAUACAUGCAAGUCGAGCGGAUUUGUUCCUUCGGGGACAAGUUAGCGGCGGACGGGUGAGUAACACGUAGGUAACCUGCCUAUAAGAUCGGGAUAACUAUCGGAAACGAUAGCUAAGACCGGAUAAUUGGUUUUCUCGCAUGAGAGAACUAUGAAACACGGAGCAAUCUGUGGCUUAUAGAUGGGCCUGCGGCGCAUUAGCUAGUUGGUAGGGUAAUGGCCUACCAAGGCGACGAUGCGUAGCCGACCUGAGAGGGUGAACGGCCACACUGGGACUGAGACACGGCCCAGACUCCUACGGGAGGCAGCAGUAGGGAAUCUUCCGCAAUGGACGCAAGUCUGACAGAGCAACGCCGCGUGAGUGAUGAAGGUUUUCGGAUCGUAAAGCUCUGUUGCCCUAGACGAAUAGCAAGGCGAGUAACUGCGCUUUGUGUGACGGUAUAGGAGAAGAAAGCCCCGGCUAACUACGUG